ensembl:lncRNA novel transcript
AGACCGAAUUCAGAAGGAUAUCGACGUCGUGAUCCAGAAGUCCAGAGCUGAGGACUGCCUGUUUGCAGAUUUCAGAUACUCAGACUCCACCUUUACUUUUACCUAUGUUGGCGGCCCCAGAAGCUUUAAAUCAUCUAGGAACUUCAUAUAAAAUUUAAUUCCAGUUUCAACUAGUUGUGGAGCAUUUGAUCCAAAAUAAAAUGAAAGUCCUCUCUGAAGUUGUAGAGGAGACUCAAGAAUCAGAACAACCUGAAGUUCUUUAAGCUGUCAGUUGAAGGACUAGGUUUGACUACAAUGCAGUGUGAAUAUCGCACAUGGGACCAUUUGUCAUACUGUCAGAUGGCAAUACAUAGAUGGAUAGAAUUUUGCUGUUUGAUCAAAGCUGUGCCAUCGGAAACUUGUUUU